UGCAGGACUUUUCGCCUGUUGAGAGUGU
rnacentral:piRNA from 1 species